CCUACGGGAGGCAGCAGUGGGGGAAUUUUGGACAAUGGGCGCAAGCCUGAUCCAGCAAUGCCGCGUGAGUGAAGAAGGCCUUCGGGUUGUAAAGCUCUUUUGUCAGGGAAGAAACGGCUGAGGUUAAUACCUUCGGCUAAUGACGGUACCUGAAGAAUAAGCACCGGCUAACUACGUGCCAGCAGCCGCGGUAAUACGUAGGGUGCAAGCGUUAAUCGGAAUUACUGGGCGUAAAGCGUGCGCAGGCGGUUUUGUAAGUCUGACGUGAAAUCCCCGGGCUCAACCUGGGAAUUGCGUUGGAGACUGCAAGGCUGGAGUCUGGCAGAGGGGGGUAGAAUUCCACGUGUAGCAGUGAAAUGCGUAGAGAUGUGGAGGAACACCGAUGGCGAAGGCAGCCCCCUGGGUCAAGACUGACGCUCAUGCACGAAAGCGUGGGGAGCAAACAGGAUUAGAUACCCUGGUAGUCCACGCCCUAAACGAUGUCUACUAGUUGUCGGGUCUUAAUUGACUUGGUAACGUCAGCUAACGCGUGAAGUAGACCGCCUGGGGAGUACGGUCGCAAGAUUAAAACCGUCAAAGGAAUUGACGG
rnacentral:rRNA from 1 species